GACAGAGGCCCCGAGCGUUAGGCGGAAUCACUGGGCUUAAAGCGUGUGUAGGCGGGCCCGUAAGUGUCUUGUGAAAUCCCACGGCUCAACCGUGGAACUGCUGGGCAUACUGCGGGUCUUGGGCCAACUAGGGGCAGCCGGAACAAGCGGUGGAGCGGUGAAAUGCGUAGAUAUCGUAAGGAAGACCAGUGGCGAAGGCGGAUCUCUGGACAGUUACUGACACUGAGGCACGAAGGCCAGGGGAGCAAACGGG
rnacentral:rRNA from 1 species